rnacentral:lncRNA from 1 species
CGCUCCUUGAAGGAUGAUUUACCAGACACUGUGCUGCUUCGCUCUUCAGCACCACUUGGGUCUUUCCUGAAGAGCGUGUUCAUGACAGUAGCGUGCAGUUUCACCCUAUCCCAUUCCCUAAGCAUCAGACCAGAGGCCACGAACUUCUCCACCAGCUGAUCAGCAAUCACCUGCAGCUUGUCUGAGCCAUCCUUCAUGUGGACUUUGGCGUAAAGGACAUCCAUCAUGGCAGGGUCAUCGUUCAUGUACUCCACCCCGGCCACCUCCACACUCAGGGGUUUGCCUCCCGUAAU